GGUUAGGCUUAUCUUGUCAAAACAGGACAUUCUCAUGUGGUUUAGCAAUAUAACAUUGUGGAAGUCUCUUCUUGUUAGGGAGUUCUCAAGACUGCCACAAUGGGCUCGUUCUUCUUGCUUAAAUUGUUUGGUGAGUAAAUUACAAUCCGACUUUAGGCGAGUUUUACAAGUGGUGGUGGCAUAAUCAGCUUGUGCCAUCUCUUACAUGCAUUUGGUUAGUCCAAGGAUAAACAUUCACUUCCAUAGACACAUUUUGAGAGCAUUGCAGUUUGUGUAAGUCAGGACUUUCUUACACUAUGUAUAACAGAAAAGGAUAAUCCUCAGAUUUGAUCAGCAACAAAUCUUCAGUUAUUCAUUACACCCCUGCUCUGAUGCUGGUCAUACCAGGAAGGUGGGAAGGUGGGAGGUGUGCCUGGGCACAGCACGUGUAGUGAUAGCAGGAAGGCACCUUCUCUCCAGCAGCACAGAAAGGCAGCAGGUUCCUCCCAGACCCACAGAGCCACCCUGCUGCCGGUGGCUGAGAGGGGACAGAGUCCACCUCCCUCCCUGGUGGAUUCAGCACAUUCUUUUAUCAUGGCCAACCUCUCAACGGGUGCAGUGGAAGCUGUAAAACUGGGGAGAACGGCAAAGGAGGAAGGAAAAAGUCCAUGUGGCUUAUCUACAGAGGACAAAAUUUCCCCAAGGACCAUGCUCUUGGUUGACAACCAUCUCGCAUCCCGGCCAAAGGCACAUUUGACUUGGUCUGCUUCCACGCAUAAGGAGCAGCCAAAGUGGACAGCAGCUGCAGGUAUCAAGGGCUUCAUGAAAAUCAGUUUUACAUCCCUGUGUCCCUUCAACCUGCCAGUCCCUUCACCAGGGCAGAGGGACCACCCUUCCUGCCAGAAGCGCAAGCGUCACGCAACCGGUGGCAGAACCACAGCGCAGCAAGUGAAAGUUACAAGACGGUUGCAGAAGCGAAGACCGAAGGGCACUUCCCUCACCCAGCCUUCCUGUUUGAGCGCACCGAACGUGUACACACCUACUGUUUACAACCCUGCAAAACAAAUACCAAAGCAGCUCGUUUCCUAACCCGGGGAAGCCCUCGUAAGCACCUGUGCGGAGGUGACAGAGAGCGUCUGGACGCUGUUGAAGAUGGAGAAAGCCAGGCACGUGCCGGUACCUCGUAGUUUCAAACCCAAGCUGUUACAGCAAUUAACGAUCGUACCCCGCGGGCACUUGUUACUCGGAGCGCCCAGCACUCCUUCCAACGGCUGCGAGAGAGGACCCGGGGGUUCUCGGGGAGCCGCGGGUCACCCGCGGCCGGGGGGUCCCUCCCUGCCCGCCUCGGCCCCUCAGGUGAGGGAAGGAGAAACCGCCGGCCGCGGCCGACGCGUCUCGCCCAGCCCCGGGCAGGACCGUCCGGCCCGCCUCAGCGCGGCAGCGGGCCGAGGCCCG
rnacentral:lncRNA from 1 species